rnacentral:rRNA from 1 species
AUUGAACGCUGGCGGCAGGCCUAACACAUGCAAGUCGAACGAGUGGCGGACGGGUGAGUAAUGUCUGGGAAACUGCCUGAUGGAGGGGGAUAACUACUGGAAACGGUAGCUAAUACCGCAUACCAUCAGAUGUGCCCAGAUGGGAUUAGCUAGUUGGUGGGGUAACGGCGCACCAAGGCGAGGAUCCCUAGCUGGUCUGAGAGGAUGACCAGCCAAACGUGAACGUAGACACGGUCCAGCCUCCUACGGGAGGCAGCAGUGGGGAGUAUUGCACAAUGGGCGCAAGCCUGGUGCAGCCAUGCCGCGUGUAGGAAGAAGGCCUUCGGGUUGUAAAGUACUUUCAGCGGGGAGGCGUUACCCGCAUAAGAAGCACCGGCUAACUCCGUGCCAGCAGCCGCGGUAAUUC